rnacentral:rRNA from 1 species
AGAGUUUGAUCCUGGCUCAGGAUGAACGCUAGCGACAGGCUUAACACAUGCAAGUCGAGGGGCAGCGAGGAGUAAGCUUGCUUACUCUGUCGGCGACCGGCGCACGGGUGAGUAACACGUAUGCAACCUGCCCUUGUCAGGGGGAUAAUCCGGAGAAAUCCGGUCUAAUAUCGCAUAAAGCGUUAGUGAGGCAUCUCACAGACGCCAAAGGAGAGAUCCGGACAAGGAUGGGCAUGCGGCGCAUUAGCUAGUUGGGGGGGUAACGGCCCACCAAGGCGACGAUGCGUAGGGGUUCUGAGAGGAAGGUCCCCCACAUUGGUACUGAGACACGGACCAAACUCCUACGGGAGGCAGCAGUGAGGAAUAUUGGUCAAUGGGCGGAAGCCUGAACCAGCCAAGUCGCGUGAGGGAAGACGGCCCUAAGGGUUGUAAACCUCUUUUGCCGGGGAGCAAAGGCACCGUGCGCGGUGCUAUGAGAGUACCCGGAGAAAAAGCAUCGGCUAACUCCGUGCCAGCAGCCGCGGUAAUACGGAGGAUGCGAGCGUUAUCCGGAUUUAUUGGGUUUAAAGGGUGCGUAGGCGGACAUUUAAGUCAGCGGUCAAAACGGGUGGCUCAACCACCUGUCGCCGUUGAAACUGGGUGUCUAGAGUGGGCGAGAAGUACGCGGAAUGCGCGGUGUAGCGGUGAAAUGCAUAGAUAUUGCGCAGAACUCCGAUUGCGAAGGCAGCGUACCGGCGCCCGACUGACGCUGAAGCACGAAAGCGUGGGGAUCGAACAGGAUUAGAUACCCUGGUAGUCCACGCAGUAAACGAUGGACACUAGCUGUUCGGGUCGAAUGAGAUCUGAGUGGCACAGCGAAAGCGUUAAGUGUCCCACCUGGGGAGUACGC